GCGCUGGCCUUCCGGUGCCGCCCCCUCCGGAGGCGGAAGCUGAGCCGCCCUCUGGCCUGCGGCCGCCCCUCUCCGGCACUCUGCAUUCAGAGAGCUCCAAAUCCACCUCGCGCUCUCCGUGGAAAACGUGAGCCCCUGCUGUGGUUUGGGCCUUCAAUCCCACAAAGGCCCUUGAGCCAAGGGUCGCAGGUCCUAAAGCCACAGGACCAGGAAAGCAUGGACUGCGGGCCCCAAAGCCCUUCUCUGUGGAGGCCGACUCGCGGGCGCUUUGCCACGGCGACAGGAAGUUAACACGGCCUUGAAAGCUCUACUUCCUUGCCUGCCUGCAGUCUGCUCGCUCUUCUCACCGGCUGUUUUUAGCGUCUUCCGGGCCUCCAAAGGCUGUACAAACUUCUAUCCACAGGUUGUCAUAUCUGCUGUCAUUCAUUCCUCCACAAAUACAAAGCGCCUUGGAUGUUUCAGAUGCUAUCCCAAGUCCCAGGGAAUUCCACAGUGACUAUGUCAGAAUUACUUCUUGUUUCAUGGAGCUACAAACUAGAAAAAAAGACAAAUAUAGAGAGCAAAAAUAACCCCUCAGAAUUUGAAAAGGAAGGUGGAAUGGCUUGUAUGUUAACACAAAUCCAGGGCUAGAUACACAGCAAGCCCUGGCACCUGGAGCAUCUCCCCUUAUCCACUCUGCUUCAGGUCGCUUCCGCUACCUGCAGUUAAGCUUCAUCCAGGAAGAUUAAAUGGAAGGUUCCAGAAGUAAAAGUGUCUAAGUUCAACGUGUGCGUCCAUCUGAGCUGAGCUGUGGAGGGCAACCUUGGCCAUCUGCGGUACCUGCACGGCCUGCUGGUCACUACCUGGGCUGCAGGCAGCCAUAGGGGCCUCCGGAAUGUGUCCCCCAAAGCGAGGGGUGCCUCGCCCACCUCAGCGCCCCUGCACGCUUCCAUCUUUCCCUAGGGAACUUGCGUGAGCUUUAGGUGAAGAGUGCACAGAGGUUAAGAAAUGGCAAGAAAGUUAAUCCCAUACUUUUCAAAAUAUAAACCUAAUUUUCAUCUUAAGUUUGCCUACAAUAGGACAUGGCCCUGCUGGGGCCCGGCUCCAAGCAGUACUUCUAGCUGCAAAGUUGCAUAAAGAUCCUGUUCUUAGGGAAUAGUCCUGUGUUUACCGUAACUGUGGGAUGCCCAAUUGUAAGCUGCCAUUAGGAAAAAAUGUCAUCACUCUUGGAAAAACAAAACCACCAGAAAUAGACAGUCUUCUUAUCCUUUAGUAUACUCACCGGAGACCAGCAGUCGGGGGACCCACUGCAGCCCCGCUGUGCUCCUCCGGGGCAGUUCUGCGCCUGCAC
rnacentral:lncRNA from 1 species